rnacentral:rRNA from 1 species
GACAGAGGGUGCAAACGUUGUUCGGAUUUACUGGGCGUAAAGGGCGCGUAGGCGGUCAGCACAAGUCAGUUGUGAAAUCUCCGGGCUUAACUCGGAAAGGUCAACUGAUACUGUGCGACUAGAGUGCAGAAGGGGCAACUGGAAUUCUCGGUGUAGCGGUGAAAUGCGUAGAUAUCGAGAGGAACACCUGCGGCGAAGGCGGGUUGCUGGGCUGACACUGACGCUGAUGCGCGAAAGCAUGGGGAGCGAACAGG